UACGUAGGCAGCGAGCGUUGUUCGGAGUUCCUGGGCGUAAAGAGUGCGUAGGCGGUUUUCUAAGUUUGGUGUGAAAUCUCCCGGCUUAACUGGGAGGGUGCGCCGAAGACUGGAAGGCUUGAGUAUGGGAGAGGUAAGCGGAAUUCCUGGUGUAGCGGUGAAAUGCGUAGAUAUCAGGAGGAACACCUGCGGUGUAGACGGCUUACUGGACCAUAACUGACGCUGAGGCACGAAAGCGUGGGUAGCAAACAGG
rnacentral:rRNA from 1 species